AUCUCUACCCCCCGCUGCUUCUGGUGACUGAUUGGAUUAGGUUGCAUUGUGCGCAGAACAUACUCUGUCAGAGGGCCCCUGUCACUCUGGUAUGUGGACACAAACCAAAAGCUGAUCAGGUACAACAUUGUACUUUUCGGUGCAGUAGAUGGCUACUCCAGGAAGGUGAUGUGUUUGGAGGCUGCAACAAAUAAUCAUGCAUCAACAGUAUUG